GGAUGUGAGGGGGAUCUGGCUGCGACAUCUGUCACCCUAUUGAUCUGUUGAUUGCCAGGGUUGAUUUGGCUGAUCUGGCUGGCUAGGCGGGUGUCGCCUUCCUUCCUCACCGCUCCAUGAGCGUCCCUUCAGAAGGUGCGUGCUCAGUGGAAGAGGACAGCCUUCCCCAAUAGAGACGGACUGGUCGAGGGUAUACGAGUAGCUGCGCUCCCCUGCUAAAACCUCCAAACAAGCUCACAAAGUGGGGAAAAUGGCCUCCAGGAGCAGUGGAUUCAUAGUGCAGGCACUGAGCCCCAGCAAUAACCCUGGAGGCAAAAAAAAAAAUAGAUUU
rfam:Erinaceus europaeus unplaced genomic scaffold scaffold00003, whole genome shotgun sequence